AAGUUUCAACAACGGAUCUCUUGGCUCUCGCAUCGAUGAAGAACGCAGCGAAAUGCGAUAAGUAGUGUGAAUUGCAGAAUUCAGUGAAUCAUCGAAUCUUUGAACGCACCUUGCGCUCCUUGGUAUUCCUUGGAGCAUGCCUGUUUGAGUAUCAU
rnacentral:rRNA from 1 species